GACGUAGGGCGCGAGCGUUGUCCGGAUUUAUUGGGCGUAAAGAGCUCGUAGGCGGCUUGUCGCGUCGUUCGUGAAAACCCGGGGCUCAACUCCGGGCUUGCGGGCGAUACGGGCAGGCUAGAGUUCGGUAGGGGAGACUGGAAUUCCUGGUGUAGCGGUGAAAUGCGCAGAUAUCAGGAGGAACACCGGUGGCGAAGGCGGGUCUCUGGGCCGAUACUGACGCUGAGAAGCGAAAGCAUGGGGAGCGAACAGG
rnacentral:rRNA from 1 species